rnacentral:rRNA from 1 species
CAAUAGCGUAUAUUAAAGUUGUUGCAGUUAAAAAGCUCGUAGUUGGAUUUCGGGACGGGCCAGUUGGUCCGCCGCAAGGUGUGUUACUGACUGGUCUGUUCUUCUUCGCAAAGACUGCGUGUGCUCUUCGUUGAGUGUGCGUAGGAUUUACGACGUUUACUUUGAAAAAAUUAGAGUGUUCAAAGCAGGCUAUCGCUUGAAUACAUGAGCAUGGAAUAAUGGAAUAGGACUUUGGUCCUAUUUUGUUGGUUUCUAGGACCGAAGUAAUGAUUAAGAGGGACAAUUGGGGGCAUCCGUAUUUCGUUGUCAGAGGUGAAAUUCUUGGAUUUACGAAAGACGAACAACUGCGAAAGCGCUUGCCAAGAGUGUUUUCAUUAA